rnacentral:rRNA from 1 species
GACGAACGCUGGCGGCGCGCCUAACACAUGCAAGUCGAACGAGAAAGAAGGAGCUUGCUUCUUCGAUCGAGUGGCGAACGGGUGAGUAACGCGUGAGGAACCUGCCUCAAAGAGGGGGACAACAGUUGGAAACGACUGCUAAUACCGCAUAAGCCCACGGGUCGGCAUCGACCAGAGGGAAAAGGAGCAAUCCGCUUUGAGAUGGCCUCGCGUCCGAUUAGCUAGUUGGUGAGGUAACGGCCCACCAAGGCGACGAUCGGUAGCCGGACUGAGAGGUUGAACGGCCACAUUGGGACUGAGACACGGCCCAGACUCCUACGGGAGGCAGCAGUGGGGAAUAUUGCACAAUGGGGGAAACCCUGAUGCAGCGACGCCGCGUGGAGGAAGAAGGUCUUCGGAUUGUAAACUCCUGUUGUUGAGGAAGAUAAUGACGGUACUCAACAAGGAAGUGACGGCCAACUACGUGCCAGCCGCCGCGGUAA